UCUGGCACACCCAUAUAACCAGUAUUUUUUCUAAAGUAAAAAAAAAAAAAUGACUAAAUAAAACUUGAUUUAUAUAACCAUGUACCAAAUACACAUGAAAGCUCUGAGGCCCUACACUGUGCAAGGCCAAGUGCCUUUCAAACACAAACCAGGCCAAAGAGACAAAGAAAAGAAAAAAAAAAGAAGGGACGAUUGGCCUUUUGCAUACAAAAAAAAAUGCUGAAUCACAGGUAUCGUUGGUACGAAGUCAUGUCAUAAUAACCAACCACAAUGUUCUUGAUUUUGUCAUUUAAAUGUAUAAAGGUUCAUCAGCCCCCAUAAGUAAUACUCAUAAGGACAAAGCAUCAUUUAAUUUGCAGUUCAACUCACAAAACCUUUAGUCAAUUCCUCUAGAAUGUAGUCUAAACCUAUUUGACCUUGUGUCAAGGACACUUUUUGAUCGUCUGGAGUUUUUAAUCUAACAGCACAUUUGCUCAGUUUUCUCAUUUUCUUCUCCCCCUCUCUCUCUUCUCCUGUCACUCCAAAACACACAGUAAAGCUCUAGUGGAGAUAUUUACCUUAACACUGGCUUGGAAUAAUUUUAUCAGGCCUAAACGCAGAAGAAACAGGGAGGUUUUCAUUCCCAUCGCCGGAUCCUUAAACACACAGCUUUUACAGAGGGGUCGGCGUGCGACGCCUCAAGAGCAACAAGCCCAGAAUAACCAUCUUUUCUGCCUUAUGGUACUUGUUUGGCUCUUUUUUUUUUCUCUUUUCUUUUUUUGUUUUGGUCUUUUAAAAAUGAAAUCCAGCAUAAAUUAAGAGCCUGUGAGGAAUGAAACUGCAGAAAAAUUUUGGGGCUGAUUUUUAAGAGGCUUUUAUGCAAACCAGCCCCCUCAUUUUCUUGCUGAAGACAGGAUGAAGGAGGGAAAAAAAUUGCAUGAGCUCUUCUUCAUUUCUCAGAGAUUUCACCAGGCAGGCUUUAUUAAGGUAAUGGUCGUUUCACUGAAGGGGGAAAUAUGUUUUUUUUUGUUUUGUUUUUAUAAGAAAAACAAUAAUAAUGGAUUUAACAUUUGCAUUUAUUGCCAUGUCCUGAUUUACAAAUAUCUGCAAAGCAAAUAUUCAUUUGCUCCUUUUUUAUUGCAAUUAAAAUACUUCAAAUCUUUAAAUUACCAUUUUUAUUUACAAUUAUCUCGUUAUUUAUCAGGGAUGAAAUGAUCAUUUCUAAUAAAUACUUUAGAGUUGUAUUUGUUUAUCUAAAGGAGGAAAGCUGUCCUUUUUUUUUUGCCAAGUCUCUUUAAUGGCUGCUUAGCUGUUGUCUGCUUUCAAAAUGGCGGCGUCUCGAACAGAAGCAGCUGCAAAAGGAGGAAGAAGAAGAAGAAGUGGAAGUCGGUCCGCCAUUUCUGGGGCGAGCCGCACUCCCAUACUAGCGCACUAAACAGUGUGGAAAAGCACGUCAUGGUGUGUUUGUGUUUGCUAAUAUUCUCAUUUCGUCACCAAAAAAAAAGAAGACACGUGAAGGAUCUAAUGAAACAUCUCGCGCUAUUGGAAUAAGCAGUGCGCUUUAAUUAGUAUCGCAUCAAUCAUACUAAUCAGUAGGUUAGUGCGCGCGCGGUCACUGCAGGGAUACAUUAUAACAAUUAAGACCCAAAAAUUUGGCGGGACUUUUUAUCAUAUAUGGGCAUAAAAAGUACAUUUAAAAAUGUUUCGGUUGAAACCGGAACAUGUUUGUGUCUGGUCUCGUCUCGUGUUAUGUGUAGACCCCUCCUUCGAGAAUGUUCCAGACUGUAACUCGAUCCAGGACGAGGCUGCAGAGCAAACCAGAAGCUCAGAGAGAGAGAAAGAAAGGACAUUCUGUUCUCUUGAAUCUGAGCCCACGUGACAAGUCUGCAAAUAGCGCGCGGUAUGUGGCGUGUUUAGCGCGUUUCCCCAUUUUGCAAUUGCAUUGAAUAGUGUGCAGUGCAUGCAUUUUAUUUUCUCUACAAAGCAAUCCGUCUGUUUCUCAUGCAUUUAUUAUCAUUUUUUUAAACCUCUUCUGCACUGGGAGCAUUACAGGAACCUAGAGGCUUUCAUGGGGUCAGAUGUUCAGCAAUAACUCCAAAUGGUACUAUGGGUUCUAUCCUGAUAUUCCUAAAUUUAGAUGAGAGUUUUGAUUUAAUUGAUGGAACAUGACAAUGGAUUUUGGAUUACGAAAAGGAAUGUACGUGUGGGUGGGGGUGUGGGGGGGAUUCAUCAGAUAGAUGUUUGAGCAUCACAGUGCUCCUGGGUGAUAGCGAUAUAAUGAAUGUAUGUGAGAACAUGGUGGAAAAAAAACAGCAGCAGCUCUGGAAAAAUCGUGCUUUCGGUCGAACCUCAGACCAUCUGAGCAGGAGUGAAAAUGGGAGCCGCAGCCUGGAGGGUGGAGGGUGGAGGGCACGCAGCUCGUUCAGAAGUGCUUCUUGCUGCUUCUAUUUUAAACCCAGAGACAGACAAGGACAGACAGAAAUCCUGCUGUUUGUGCUGCCAAAGAAACCGGUUUUGUGCGCACUGGAUCCUUAAAGACGAUCGUCAGUGGAAUAGGUAUCUGCUAGGCCAUGUUUGUGAGCCAACUCGGACAGAAAGGCUGAUUUAGGAACUAAUCAAUGUUGGUUAAAGAUCUACAGAUGGGGUGAUUUUCCAGUGGAUCGAGCUUAGGGUUCAAAGGUCAGAUUCGACGUUUAAACCUAGGACAGAGUGAUUACAGGGUUUUAUUGAAAUAAAGCAUCUUGAGAUGUAAGUACUGUUUAUUGGCACUUGGCUCAAAGGGGAAUGAAUGAGAGACAAUUACUAUAAAGAUUUAAUCAUUUUUCAGAGUCUCUAAUUAUAUAUGUAGUUGAUAUUUAGUUGGUUGCUUGUAUCAUCUCAGUCGGUAGGUGCCAUAAAAUGCAGAAUGUUUUUGUGAUCCUGGACAUGACCGGGAAAUGAGGUGUUGUUCAGCAAACAUCUACCUAUAAAACCAGAUGAAAAUCCAGGAAUUUCAGUAUCACGGUUAUUUGGUUCUGUAGAUUAAAAUUGUUUUAAGGAAAUGGGUAGUAACUAAUAGGUUAUAAUCAGUAACACAAGUAUUGCACAAUUGAUUUUUUAUUGAAAUAAUAUUCGAAAUACACAUGAUGAAUUUGUAUCGUGUGUAUAUUUAAAAAUAAUAAACAUUUCUUUUAGUGGA